GCCUUUGUGAUGUAACUGGAAGCACACUCGACGCUAAUUCGGGAGAUCCAAAGUUCGAAUCCUGGCAAAGGCA
rnacentral:tRNA from 1 species